rnacentral:tRNA from 2 species
GGAGGAGUGUCCGAGCGGCCGAAGGAGCACGCUUGGAAAGCGUGUGUGCGCUAACCCCGUACCGAGGGUUCGAAUCCCUCCUCCUCCG